UGGUAGUUCAGUGGUAGAAUGUUCACCUUCCAUGCGGGUGAUCUGGGUUCAAUUCCCAGCCA
rnacentral:tRNA from 1 species